rnacentral:rRNA from 1 species
UACGAAGGGGGCUAGCGUUGCUCGGAAUCACUGGGCGUAAAGCGCACGUAGGCGGAUUCUUAAGUCAGGGGUGAAAUCCUGGAGCUCAACUCCAGAACUGCCUUUGAUACUGAGGUACUGUAGUUCGGGAGAGGUGAGUGGAACUGCGAGUGUAGAGGUGAAAUUCGUAGAUAUUCGCAAGAACACCAGUGGCGAAGGCGGCUCACUGGCCCGUAUCGACGCUGAGGCGCGAAAGCGUGGGGAGCAACAGG